rnacentral:rRNA from 1 species
UCCGAAGGUCCCAAGCGUUGUUCGGAAUCACUGGGCGUAAAGGGAGCGUAGGCGGCGUGGUAAGUCAGAUGUGAAAUCCCGGGGCUCAACCCCGGAACUGCAUCCGAUACUGCCAUGCUAGAGGAUUGGAGAGGUAGCUGGAAUUCUUGGUGUAGCAGUGAAAUGCGUAGAGAUCAAGAGGAACACUCGUGGCGAAAGCGAGCUACUGGACAAUUCCUGACGCUGAGGCUCGAAGGCUAGGGUAGCGAAAGGG